rnacentral:rRNA from 1 species
UACGUAGGGUGCGAGCGUUGUCCGGAAUUACUGGGCGUAAAGGGCUCGUAGGCGGCCAACUAAGUCAGACGUGAAAUCCCUCAGCUUAACUGGGGAACUGCGUCUGAUACUGGAUGGCUUGAGUUUGGGAGAGGGACGCGGAAUUCCAGGUGUAGCGGUGAAAUGCGUAGAUAUCUGGAGGAACACCGGUGGCGAAGGCGGCGUCCUGGACCAACACUGACACUGAUGAGCGAAAGCCAGGGGAGCAAACGGG